UAGAGUUUGAUCAUGGCUCAGGACGAACGCUGGCGGCAUGCCUAACACAUGCAAGUCGAACGAGAAAGUUCCUUCGGGAGCAAUUAAAGUGGCGCACGGGUGAGUAACGCGUAGACAAUCUGCCCUUCAGUCUGGGACAACUUUUCGAAAGGAGAGCUAAUACCGGAUAACAAUGCAUGACACAAGUUGUAUAUUUGAAAGCUUUAUGUGCUGAAGGAGGGGUCUGCGUCCCAUUAGCUAGUUGGUAAGGUAAAGGCUUACCAAGGCAACGAUGGGUAGCGGGUUCGAGAGGACGAUCCGCCACACUGGAACUGAGACACGGUCCAGACUCCUACGGGAGGCAGCAGUGGGGAAUAUUGCACAAUGGAGGCAACUCUGAUGCGGCAAUGUCGCGUGAGUGAAGAAGGCCCUUGGGUCGUAAAGCUCUUUUAUGGGGGAAGAUGAUGACGGUACCCCAAGAAUAAGCACCGGCUAACUAUGUGCCAGCAGCCGCGGUAAUACAUAGGGUGCGAGCGUUGUUCGGAAUUACUGGGCGUAAAGGGCGCGCAGGCGGAAUAGUAAGUCGGAGGUGAAAGCCCGGGGCUCAACCCCGGAGGGUCUUUCGAAACUACUAAUCUAGAGAGGGUCAGGGGCCGGCAGAAUUCCUGCUGUAGAGGGGGGUAGAAUUUCA
rnacentral:rRNA from 1 species